GGCGGCCGGCGGGGUGAGGUGAGGUGAGAGGUGAGGUGAGGUGAGGUGAGAGGUGAGGGGCUGCCGCUGUCUGUCGGAGGGGAUGCUGCCGGACCCCAGCACAGGGCAGCCGGCUCCGGGCAGCGGCGCCCGUGGAGCCCGGCGCUCCUUCGCGGGAGUGAAGCAGGAGGAACGAACGGAACGUGCAAAAAGCCCCAGUGGCAGAUCUCUCUCGGGAGAGAUAGUGAGCGUGGGCUUAGGCAGCGCGGUUUGUGUGCGGGGCUGCUACAUAAAAUGCACUCAGACUGGGGCCCUCGCCUCUGGUGCCCAACAGCAGUUCGGCACAGAGCUGGGCUCCCGUGCCCCUGGUUUACCCCUGAUCUGACCUGCUUGUCCCUGAUCCUUGUGCCACAGGACCUCCAGGUACAUGAUCCUUCCAAUCAGGAAGGACGCUGGGCUCUCUGUGGGCUGCUGCUGGGACAUACUUACCUGCCAGCUCCCUCCUGCUUGCUCAUAUACUUGGGGCUGGGGGUCAGACCCCAGGACUGGGGGUCAGAACAAAUGCUGUGAGCGCACCCAGCUGGCAAGGAAUGCUUGCUCGGGACUCGUACCCUGUGGCACGCGCCCGCGGGGCUGGGGUAGCACAGCCUGCUCACCUGCUGGCAUGGUGAUCCUCAGGAGCCAGAGGAUAAACGGGAUGGCAGGAGGUCCUAGGGGUGGGAUGGGGAGGGUCAGUGUGUGCAGGUGCGCACAGGGAUGCGUGUGCGUGGGAGGGUGAGCACGCACAGGUACAUGGGUGUGCAAGGACACUGGUGUGGGGUUGAGGAUGUGCCUGGGAGUUUGUGGGUGCGCACUGACAUGCGAGUGUGCGUACAAACACAUGCCAGUGUGCACAGCUGUGUGGCUGGACCCAAGGCAUGAGUGUCCACAGGUAUGUGGGAAUGGAUGUGGGCAGGUGUGUGUGCAGAGGAAUGGGGGUGCAGAGAGGUGGAUGUGCAUAGUUGUGCAGGUGCUGUGCAUGGCUGUAGAGCUGAUCCUGCCCACGUCUUGGUGCCUCCUGCCAGUUCUCCCAGAACUCGGAUCACCAGCGUGCUGCUGAGUCUAUCUCUGUGGGAAAAGCUUUCCCAAAGCCCUCUUGGCAAUUGCACAAAUGGUGUUUAAGGGACCAAGGGAAGGUGGGAGAUGUUCAUCCUAGUGAAACAGGGCUCCCUUUAAGGUUUCCAACAAUGCUGUUUCUCUGCUUGGAGAAAAAUGUGUGUGAGGAUCCAUUUGCACGCAGCAAACAAACCCCAGCCCUGGUUUCUAGCUGAAUAAAGGGACCCCAGAGUCUUUGGCCACCUGCUUAUUUGUGCAGCUUCCCAGUGAUCUGGGAGGUAGCAGAAUAAACUAUGGUGCUAGCAGAAUAAACCAUGAAGUGGCACUCUCUGAGGACCCAUGUGUGCGGUCGCAGAAGCUGAAUGCAGAUGUGUGGCAGAGUUUCAAAUCACAUGCUGUAGAGUUUGUGCCAGGACACAGAAGAAAAAUCAGCCUCCCGUACUGACACCCAUGUUCUUGAAGUACACAAAACACUAGGGUAGUAUUACCCUGCAGAAACCAAGAAACCGACUCCUUCAUCAUGAAAGGAGAGUGGCAAAGCUGCCUCGCCUGCAAUGCUCUGCCCUCUGGCUCAUGGGAAGCUGUAGCUGGGCAUGAAUUUUCCUACCAGAUUUUCCAAGAGGCAGUGCGGUAGUUCCGUCACCUCUGGGGCUCUGUGUCUCUCUGCGCCAUGCCAGUUCCGUGCCUCCAGAGGGCAAAGUCAGAUCAUGCUUCACUUUGCACUUGUAGAGGAUGGGGAAUGAAAGAAGUGCACGCUGAGGUGGGAUGGUGUGCUGAACAGCUGCUUUUGCCCUCCCUGCUGUUGAUGAAAAUCCUUUUCCAAGAAAGCGUUUUCCUUGGCAGAGCCCAGCCUGUAAGUAGAGUGAAAUGGAUACCCAAACAGCAUGUGCUGGCUCUUGUCCCUUCUCCUUUCCUCGUCAUGCAUGUUAAACUGUAAUCCCAGUAUUUGUGAGUGAAGUAGGAGUUGUGUAACGUGGUGGCGUAGGGACUAUCCUCAAUCUGAUAUUAUCAUCAGCCUAUUUAAAAACAUUUUCAGCUCUUCACUUGGGGAGCAGGAGUAUGUCCCAUUUUAAGCAUUUGGUGUCUCUUUUGACUGCCAGUUCCUGUGGGGAGGGAACUAUGGGGAACAUGAAACUCAGACUCACUCAGGCGGAUCUUAGACUCCAGAUCUCCUCCAUCUGUAAACCAAAGUGGUGCCUGUUGCUGGAGCAGAAGAGUUGGUGCUUUUCAUGUUUGGCAACGUUUUAUUUUCUCUUGUCAUUCAGCUACACUGGAGGAGGGACAAGGGUAAGUAAAAUGGAAAAUGUCAUGCAUUGAUUAAACAUUUGGAGUUCAUAAUGCUAUAGAAGAUGUAUGGUAUCUACAGGAGUAUUAGCCAUGCAAAAGCUAUAGCUUGGACUUUCUUCUGGUCUCUGGGAGUCAGAGUUCAGAGUCAGCAUUUUUUCUGUCUAAAUUUCCCAGCUCAGAUCCUGCCUACACUGAGAUCUGCAGCCUUCAAGUGAGCAAAGUGCUCAUUGAUUCUGAGACCAGGCACUGCAGAGUGUACCCUGAGCAAGGGCAUCGUGCCUUGGCCUCUCAAGACUGGAGGUUUUUAGUACCAGUAGGUGCUCGAGAAUUACCCCAGGCAAAAUCCCAUCUGCUUGGAUCUCCAAGAGCAAUUUCUACCCAUGAAAAAAAUCCAAUCCUUUAGGCUUCAUUCCCCACUCAGUUGCUCCCGAUCACAAACAGCACCAUUGAGAUCCCUCGAGUAAACUACUGGGAAGCCCUGCCCUCUGAUAGCCCUGUGAGCUGAGUGGCUUCUCCCACCUCAACCAAACCAGAGGGAAGCGGACAUUAAGUGUGUCGGCAGCCCCUUCAUGUGCAGCACACUCACAGUUUUGGUUCCACCAUCAGAAUUUGUCUCUUUGAAGGGAGGAAAUGUUUUGGUUUGCCUUUGUGUCCCAGAGGCAGAGCUGUAUUUAGUGUGCUCAAAGUCAAGGGUUCAGCAGAGCCAAAAUCCCAGAUCAGAUUGGCUGAACACAAAUAAAGUGAGAGCAUGUACCUCAUGGCACAGGCUGCACCCCAAGCUCCGCUGCCUCUGCAAUGAGAUGGCAGGUUUGGGUUUUUAAUGGCUCUGUGUUUGGUGCAAGGACUUCGCUGCUGGAAGUGUGGAGAGCGUCACAGCCAGACACUUCAUGACACUGUGACAAAGGAGCCCUACCUGCAGCUUAUUAUUAAGAUCUGAGAGGGGAUCACAAGCCUGAGUCUCUUGGAACAAGGCAGGUGAUGGGGACAUCCUUCAUUCACUUUCAGAGCAUGUGUCCACAAAGAAGUGUCCAAAGUCACUGAACUUAAGACAUCUUGCACUUCACUGGAGUUAGUGGAAGACAAAAGCAGAGGGUGAUUGCAUGGAUUUUGGAAACACUUUAUACCCAGAGUGUGGUGUGGGGACCAAGGUGAAACCUCACAGGGAGAACUGAUGUGCAGCUGCCAAAUGGAGCCCAGUCACAUGGCAGAAGAGGGGCUGGAAAGAAACAGACUAGUGGGAUGUGUCCAUUGCCUAUUUGCAUCAGAUGUUCACAUGCCUUGUCUUGUGGGAGUAAGCUUUCACUCUGCAUCAGUGGCCUGGUUGUUUAUCAUCUGUCCUGUUUUUCCAAAGUAAUGCUGCUUUUCAUGCCAUGGUUGAGUUUUAUACAGGAACUUGGGGCUGCAGGCAAGAAAGAGCUGCUUACGGAGAGCAUCACAUGGAUGUAGCCAGGUUCAUGAGAGAGGCUUGAGUUAGCUGUUGUGGUCAUUCUUUUGUAGGAAAAAAAAAAACCAAACCAACCAUGGUGGUUUUGAAACAGGCCAUGUCUCAGGGCUGUGAGAGAGAAAAUUUGACAGGGGUGAGAGGCACAAGGAGCCUCAGUCUCCACCCAGCAUGGUUCCACCUGAACUGGUCUGGAGGGUAGCAAGAGAGGCCAGCCAGCGUGCUUGACAGCCCAGCAGCUCCUCUAACUCAUGGAGGGCGAGCAGGAUCUGCAGAGGGUGUUCUGUGACAGGUGAAGGUGCACAUGGGCAGGGCAGGCUCUCGCAGAGCAGGGCAUCACCUCUGCCUGCUCCCUUGGGACCCCCUGCCCCACUGGGGAGAAUUUGGUGUGCGUGGAGUGGCAGAGGGCUGGCACACAGCAUGGGUGACAUGCGGGGUUGCUGCUGUAGGAUGACAAUAGCCCUGAACUAGAGGGAGUGGCUGGCAUGAGAAGAGGCAGAGCCUCAGCCUAGAGGGACCGCCAGAAAUGGGAGCACUGGACCGCCAGGAAGCUUACAAAGCCCAGCAAAGGAAACGUUCUGGUGGUGUGCCGGGGCAGCAUAACCCUGUGUGUCGGUCCCAGCUGGGAAACGACUGGGAGGGCUGGGGCCCAGCUGCAGAGGAGCUGGGGAACGGUGUGCAUGAGGCUGAACGUGGGCCAGGAGUGACUCUUGCUGCAAAUAAGGCACCCUCUGUACUGGGUUUCGUGAGGAGGAGCACGGCUUGUCAUGCAAGCCUAGGUCUGUGCCAGCACUGCCUAAACAGCAGGUUAAACAUGCAACCUCACUGUGCAAACUGGCAACAAGAGACUCAUUUAGCUAAGAUAUGGAGCCACAAACUGAAGCAGUAGAAAACACUACAUGUGACAUAGGUAGCAAGGAGCAGACACCUUCUUGGUGGAAGCAGAGUGGAUCCAGCCUGCGCUGGAUGGGCCGUGACACAUUCAUUUGUUCUCCCACCGAAGCAGUUUUUAGAGCCGAUUUGCAAGAGAAUAAGCUGCCCAUUCUUGCCUUUGCACCAUCAAGAAAUCACUGGGAGUUGAGCAGAUCUGUCAGAUGCUGUAAAGAGGAGGAGCUGACUUUUUCUGGGAACAUGCAAAGCAGAGUCAGGCUCUCUUCUGUAAGCCAAAAAUCACUUGCUAUGCUUUUUUUUUUUUGCAGGUGUUGUGAGGUUUGCAUGGCUCUUGCUCCCCUGAAGCCUGUGCAUUUCAUCACCUCAUGAAAAUCUUCCGGAUGGGUGUCUUUGAAUAGCCAUCAGGCUCUGUUGGCAUGGAAAUGAGUUCUCUCUAUUUUGCCUAUCAAAUGCCCUAUUUGGCCAGUCAUUCAACAGUUUUGAGAGGUUUAAUCCCCUCUAAGGGUGGCCUAAGUCUUUGGUGUUCACACUCCCUGUAGCGAGCUUCACCUUUCCCCUCCAAGUCUUCCCUGCCACUCGCAGCCUCCUGUGGUUACUGCAGGCAGCUGUGUCUGUGGCAUGGUGUCAGCUUUGGGUAUAGUUUCCUCUAUUUGUGUCCCAGUGUGAUAGCAGCAGUAAGGCUGUUGCAGAAGGCAGGGGGUAGGGAAACCAGCCAGCCAGAAGAAUUUCUUCUGCAUGCAGGGCCACCAUCAUAAGUGUUGGUCAUGCCACUAACUUUGGUAGAGCAGGUGAAGGCCAAGCAUGUAGGACACAGUGGUGGCUCAGAUCUUGCAGGAUGAACAUUUCCUACUCUAUGUUUCCCAGGUGCCCUGCUGGGACUUGUCUGCUCUGCUCACUCACAGCUGGCAUCACUGCUGUCUGAUGGCAGCUCCUGCAAGGGGCUCACAGGGCUGGAAAGACCCUGAGGCUUGUGGAAGGGAAGGGUGGCUUGUCAUCUGAAGCCAAAUUUUGCUUGCCGGUGCACUAGGUGAUCCCUCUCUGCAGCUAGUGGUGAAAACUGAUGCUUGAUAGAGAACAAUAGGAUGCAGCAGUUUAGAGAGAAUUGUUUAUUGCUUGCUUUGGAAGCUGGGAAUUUUAUUUAAGAAUAAUUAUUUAAGUUAAUUAAUUGUCUUACUGUGAACAAAAUAUCUUUGCAAAUACCCUGUUUUACUUCAAAAAGUUAUUUGGAAAUAAAUGUUUGGUUUAUUUUUCCUUUGUUGCAGACAGAACCACAUUGCCCUGGACAUCAGCUUUUUCUAACCAGCACUUCAGCAUGGGACAGCAAAAAGUUUCAGAAAUCUCUCUUCAUUUUGGACAGUCUGGUCUUAAUUCUUCUGUGACCAGUCCAUAUUUCACAUGUAAAAUCUGUGCCACGGGACAGGUUUCCCAAAGGGAUGGUGGGAUUUCUGUCCUUUGGGCUUUUAAAAGCUUGGCUGGUUGUGGCCCUUAGCAAGCUGAUCUAGCUUGGGGUAUGACCCUGCUUUGAGCUUUUGCUGGACCAGAAACCUUGUCAUUUCUGCAGUUCUUUCUGUUACUGUGGAAGAAACAGGAUUUACAGGAGUUUCUGUCAAGUCAGCUGAAGUCCUGUCAAUGAUGUAGGAAAAUGACCCAUGGACACAAGCAAAAUGACUUCUCAAAAUGCCAGGUGCUCAGAUCUUAUUUCUCCCAGCUGAUGCUGAUAGUUUUGCUUAUGCAGUUUGUGUCUUCAUAUGCAAAUCACGAUUUGCCACCAUGUGGACCAUUAUCAGAAAACAGAUCUUCCAGAAGUUAUUUAAACAAUCACUUCCAGGAUCAUGUUUUGGACACAGAAGGGAAAGGAGAGUGGCAUCUUUUUGAGGCCUUUGAGUUUCCCUCCUCUUCAUUCCGCUGCAAAACAAUGCAAUUUUGCUGUGUGAGAGUGUCUUUAUGACUUUAAAAAAUAAAAAAAAACCAAGAGAAAGGUGGAAAAUGAAAUGUGAAAA